CCUGGUUGAUCCUGCCAGUAGUUAUAUGCUUGUCUCAAAGCUUAAGCCAUGCAAGUCUCAGUACGAGCUGACUUAAAGUGAAACCGCAAAAGGCUCAGUAAACCGGUCAUAGUUUACCGGAUAUAUGCCACUUACGUGGAUAACUGUGGUAAUUCUAGAGCUAAUACAUGAGAACAAGUCCCGACCAGCGAUGGAAAGGACGCUUUUAUUGGAUCAAAACCAUUCGCCCGGCUCGCCCGGGCGUCUGCUUGAUGACUCUAGAUAACACCACAGAUCGCACGGUCACAGUACCGGCGACGUAUCCGUCAAAUGUCUGACUUAUCAGCUGUCGAUGGUAGACUCUGUGUCUACCAUGGCGCUCACGGGUAACGGGGAAUCAGGGUUCGAUUCCGGAGAGGGAGCCUGAGAAACGGCUACCACAUCCAAGGAAGGCAGCAGGCACGCAAAUUACCCACUCCCGGCACGGGGAGGUAGUGACAAAAAAUAACGAUACGGGACUCAUCCGAGGCCCCGUAAUCGGAAUGAGAACACCCUAAAUCCUUUAACGAGGAUCYAUUGGAGGGCAAGUCUGGUGCCAGCAGCCGCGGUAAUUCCAGCUCCAAUAGCGUAUAUUAAAGUUGUUGCGGUUAAAAAGCUCGUAGUUGGUUCUGCGUGCCACGCUGUCGGUUCACCGCCUGUCGGUGCAACUGGCAUGCCGUGGCAUGUCCUGUCGGUGGCCGACGGGCUUCGCGGMGCGCCCCACUCGCUCACGCGUGUGGGUCGACGCGCCGUGUCGUCCUCGUUGGCCGGCUCAAUCCUACCGCGGUGCUCUUAAACGAGUGUCGAGGUAGGCCGACACUGUUUACUUUGAACAAAUUAGAGUGCUUCAAGCAGGCUCUGAAAGCAGCCUGAAUAGUGGUGCAUGGAAUAAUGGAACAGGACCUUGGUUCUAUUUUGUUGGUUUUCGGAAUCCAAGGUAAUGAUCAAUAAGGACAGGCGGGGGCAUUCGUAUUGCGACGUUAGAGGUGAAAUUCUUGGAUCGUCGCAAGACGCACUAGAGCGAAAGCAUUUGCCAAGUAUGUCUUAAUUGAUCAAGAACGAAAGUUAGAGGUUCGAAGGCGAUCAGAUACCGCCCUAGUUCUAACCAUAAACGAUGCCAGCCAGCGAUCCGCCGAUGUUCCUCCGAUGACUCGGCGGGGAGCUUUCCCCGGGAAACCAAAGCUUUUGGGUUCCGGGGGAAGUAUGGUUGCAAAGCUGAAACUUAAAGGAAUUGACGGAAGGGCACCACCAGGAGUGGAGCCUGCGGCUUAAUUUGACUCAACACGGGAAACCUC
rnacentral:rRNA from 1 species